rnacentral:rRNA from 1 species
ACUAACUAGGAUUCCCUUAGUAGCGGCGAGCGAACAGGGAAAAGCCCAGCACAAAAUCCCGUGUCUUUUCGGCACUGGGAAAUGUUGUGUAUAGGAGAGUCCAUUAUCCUGUUGUUUAAUUGUAAGUCCAAGUCCCUCUUGAACGGGGCCGUUCACCCAUAGAGGGUGCCAGGCCCGUAGGACUACUUUUUACUGCAGGAGGGCUUCUCCUUAGAGUCGGGUUGCUUGAAAAUGCAGCCCUAAGUGGGUGGUAAACUCCAUCUAAGGCUAAAUAUAACCACGAGACCGAUAGCGAACAAGUACCGUGAGGGAAAGUUGAAAAGAACUUUGAAGAGAGAGUUCAAUAGUACGUGAAACCGUUCAGGGGUAAACCUGAGAAACCCGAAAGUUCGACUGGGGAGAUUCAGUCGCGUCUCAGUUAUCAGAAUGUGCUGAAUGUUAGACAUCUUGUUACUCGUAAUUUGGUGCUACUUUUGGUCAUUGUUGGUGCUGAACGCGUGCACUUCUCCUCUUGUAGAACGCCGCGACCCGUUGAAAAUCAGUCUACGGUGUUAUGAGAUAGCCCAGAUAGUUUUACUAUGUUGGAUCUGUAAUUACCGACUGGUUAUAUCGACGGUAUGAUCAAAGCGCAGAGCCGCAUUUAAUGCGUCUGGCCUAUUGCAAGCGCAGUUGGUUUGUUUAGUGUUCGGACUUAGUGCCGACAUUGGACCCCAGCGGCUGUUGGUAAUAGUGUUCUCAGGCAGACUCUGUUAGCUGGUCGGCGGCGCUAUUGCUUUGGGUACUUUCAGGGCCCGUCUUGAAACACGGACCAAGGAGUCUAGCAUGUGCGCGAGUUAAUGGGAUAUUAAACCUAAAAGCGAAAUGAAAGUAAAGAAACGUUUUUACGUUUUUAGGGCAGAUGAAUUGUGGUAUUCCACAUGUUCCGCAUGCCCGGGGCGUCCCGUUCUUAUUGCAAGAUGGGGCGCACCUAGAGCGUACAUGCUGGGACCCGAAAGAUGGUGAACUAUGCCUGGUCAGGACGAAGUCAGGGGAAACCCUGAUGGAGGUCCGUAGCGGUUCUGACGUGCAAAUCGAUCGCAAGAACUGGGUAUAGGGGCGAAAGACUAAUCGAACCAUCUAGUAGCUGGUUCCCUCCGAAGUUUCCCUCAGGAUAGCUGGCGCUCGUUGUAUACGAGUCUCAUCUGGUAAAGCGAAUGAUUAGAGGUAUUGGGGUCGAAACGAUCUCAACCUAUUCUCAAACUUUAAAUGGGUGAGAUCUCCGGCUUAUUUGAACGUAAAGCCGAGAGAAUCGGAUCAGAG